rnacentral:rRNA from 1 species
AGCGAACGCUGGCGGCAGGCUUAACACAUGCAAGUCGAGCGCCCCGCAUGGGGAGCGGCAGACGGGUGAGUAACACGUGGGAAUCUACCCAUCCCUACGGAACAACUCCGGGAAACUGGAGCUAAUACCGUAUACGCCCUUCGGGGGAAAGAUUUAUCGGGGAUGGAUGAGCCCGCGUUGGAUUAGCUAGUUGGUGGGGUAAAUGCCUACCAAGGCGACGAUCCAUAGCUGGUCUGAGAGGAUGAUCAGCCACAUUGGGACUGAGACACAGCCCAAACUCCUACGGGAGGCAGCAGUGGGGAAGAUUGGGCGAUGGGGGCAGGGCUGAUCCAGCCAUGCCGCGUGAAUGAUGAAGGCCUUAGGGUUGUAAAGUUCUUUCACCGAUGAAGAUAAUGACGGUAGUCGGAGAAGAAGCCCCGGCUAACUUCGUGCCAGCCGCCGCAGUAA